GUUAAAAUGUGGAGUAUGUCUGCUCCUGAAACAGCAUCGCCUGUAUCUGUCAUCACCUGUUUUUCCAGGCUGAGAGCUGAGUGCAUCGUAUUGCUGGUGGGGGGGAUAUGUGCUCUGAUAUUAAAAGCGUUCUCUGAGUUAAAACCAGAGGAAAAUGCAAAAUACCCACAUGUACUAAAGUGAUGGUGGAAAAGGAAACAGCUGGGAGGCAAAAUGGCAAUUCUGUGCCCAAAAGUGAAAGAGCAGAGAAAAUGGUCUAAGGAACUGAGACAACUUCAGGGUGAGGACUUGAGUUAGAGCCCAGCUGCUUUGUGAAGAUACCACAUCCCAGAAACCUCCACUACCACCUCCCAGAAACCUCCACCAAAGUCUUGGGGAAGGUGGUGUCAUCGCAGAGUCCCCUGUUCCCACAGCAGCACAGGACAGUGAUGUUACUUGGGCCCAUGUCGGCUACGCAGAGUAUGCAGAGAAGGUAAAAGAAGCAAAGAGCUUCCUAGACUUGCCUGUCCCUUCAGCACCGUUUGCCUCAUCCCCUCAGCAAUGCUUGCUUUGUGCUGAAGCUGUGUUCCAGAGCUGUUUGGAGACACAAAUGAGCUUGACCCACAGGCAGGUUUGUGGGUGAUAACAGAAGGAUACAGGGUUUUGCUGCUUUUGCUGUGACUGUAGAAUGCUAUCCAGCAGGUAUUUCCAGUGGUUCCAUGGUGUAAUGGUUAGCACUCUGGACUCUGAAUCCAGCGAUCCGAGUUCAAAUCUCGGUGGAACCUGAAGCUUUUUCUUUGCCGCUCUUCUUUUUUCCCCUUCCCCCCCGACCUUCUCUGCCCAAAUUACGGCCAGCCAUGCUCUUCGCUCCCCACCGCGCUCCUUCGCACCCGGAGGGGUCCCGGCCGCACCUCACCUCACCUCCUCGCCCGGCUGGUACCCACCAGCCUUGUCCCCAGAGCGGCGGUGCGGGUCACCUCCUCCCACCCGCACACCAAAGUUUGGGGCAGGUUGGCCCGAAGCCCGCUGGGUCUGCCAGAUCCGUCCUGUGAACCAGGCCCAGCGCAUCGUGUGAAGCCCAUGGAGCUCGCGGUGGAGGUGGUGGAGAUGCCGAUGAGCUCCUUCAGCUCGGGAGCUUGCCGCUAGCAGCAGCAGGAAGUUCGCCAUCUCUGCCAUCAGCGGCUGUGUUAUCAUUCCUGUGUGUGGAAAGUAACCCCCAGGCAUCAGCGGCAACGCUGCGCAUCACUUGCCGUCUGCCGGAACGAUAACGAGCCCUAACGUGAUCCCCUGCGUUUAAAGUUAAAUACUUCACGCUGCCUCAGAGGAAACACAGCGCUGGUGACAAAGACGCGUGACGUGUGACCGCGCUGUGUCACACCGCGGGAGUACGGUGAGGUCAGAGCACCAGGGCCCGGGCUCGCACCACGUCCUGCCGCCAGCCUCCGGCCUCCCCUGGCAGAUCGCGCAACUCCAGCUUCUGGCAGGUGCAGAGAACCCACCGAGCAUUCGGGGCGUCGCAUCCCCAGGACCCUGCCCCACGUCUCCCGUGGGAAUAAGCGCGUGUGCCAGUUCUGUACAGGCAUUGCGAGGCCAGGCCUCGCAGGAGCAGAAAGCGUAGUGGCGAGGUCUGUAGGAGCCUGCGUUGUCUUUGGAUGCAUCCUUUUUAUCUCCAGAUGAACCCGGAACGCCCAAAAUCUUGAGUCUGGAACUGCUUGUCCCACUCCUGCCGCUCAUCUCAGAAGUUCUCCUACUGCGUGGAGAAGUGCAUUAAAAUUGAUAAUGGGUACUUGUGUGUAUCCACAGGUAUGGGCUAUAUUUAUAACUCUGUAGUUAAGGUUUCCGUCUCACAUCCUGUUUGCAGUUCUCCACUGAACUUUGUUGUUAACAAGCUAUUAAUUUUCACUUGACGUUUCUCAGGCCCGGUUUCAUCCUCCAGAAAUGCUAUUAGUUCUACAAAAAUAAAAAUAACACAGAUGAAGUAUUUUUAGUUAUCCUCUUGUAAGAGCUGUUCUCCUUUUUGUGUUUUGGAUUUUGUCGGUGAGCCUGGAAACACCCUUUAUUUACAUUUUUCAUACGCAUAAGCAUGACUUCCUCUUUCACCAAAUUGCAGAUGUUCCUCAGCUGGAACUGGCUCAUCCCGCGCAAGACUUUAGGGCACAAAGUGAGGACAAUGCCUUUCUGGGCUGAGCUAAAAAUCACGGCCCCUACAUUGCUGUACCGCUAUCACUUGUUGAACUUAAGACGUUACGAACCCGAGGCAUUUUUGCCAAUUUAUGCACCAUAACAAGAAAAUUUCUGCAGAUUGCCAUGGAUAUGAGCAGCGGCAGGGGUUAUGUCUAGCCAAGCCCGUUUGAAUGCAUUCGAUCAUUUCUAAUCAGGCUCUUCACGGUAUAGAGAGGCAAAACUGAAACAGCAGAAAGAACUUUGCAUCUAAACAGGAGUCAACUGCCAGCAGGGCACGAGGACAGCACUGGACUAGCAAGGAGCUCCAGAAAUUAAAGUCUUCUGUUUUGUUCCUGUUCGGGCAAGCCCCAGAUGUGAAUAUACAGAACCUCAGGAAAUGUCGCUGUCAGCAAAGACUGGUUUUGGCCGCUCUGCUCUUUCUUUGUGUCCCCUCCCGGAGUGUGCUGCUGUAGUUACAGCCUGGCCUGGGACACCUCCCAUGCGUAUGAAACAUGGCCAAAAAGCAGAGGUCAGGCCUGAAAUAACAGAGGACUGUGUGCUCCAGGACUGACAGCUUUUAGUGUGAGAACAGUCAUUCAGCACUGGCAUUUCUGCCACGUUAAUUGCCAUUAGUGUCAUCCUUGCGGGAACACUGAAUUCAUUGCAAACCUUGAAUUAGCGCGCUCUCAUAAUUCUUCAGUUUGUACUUAGGCACCGCCAUUUGCGGAGGCAGCACAUUCCAAGGAACUGGAGCAGAGACAAGGAAUGAUACUCAGCUGGCCCUUGGAUGUUCAAUUUAGCGAAGAAAAGAAGCAGAGGUCACACUCAUAACUGCAUAUUUAUGGUUCUGUUCUGGAAAUUCAUACAGCAGCUGCCAAAAAGGGCCCAGCUUUUGCCUCGGCAGCACCAUUAACGUGCAGAUGUGUGUCAGAGCUAUCAGCUCCGAGCUGCUCAGCCCCAGGCGCUGUGCAUCAGGCUCUCCCCGCACCUGAUUCUCGCUUCAUUCUCCCACUUCCCUCCUGCCACCGACUCCCGAGACCCGGAGAGAGAUCCUGGCCUAAUAAAGGGGGAAAUUUGCCACCGGCAUUGAUGGUUGUAGCAUUCCCACAACAAGGUCAAGGUCUCUUUGCAGGAUACACCAGUGCUAUCUGACAUGGAAAGAGAAGAACAUGAAACAGGGAUGGCCAGUAUUUGCUGCUGGUCCCAGCUUUUCUGGCUAAAAAUCGCCAUUCACACUUUGCAAAGCCCAUCACUUUGCAAAGCUUGGAGAAAGAUUUGGAAUUGGAAAUGGCGAUAAUUCGAAAUUGUCCUUGAAUGGCUGUUGACCCAAAUUCCUGUUUCCCAGAUGAAAGGAGCCACUGGCUUCCCCGGGGCGGAAGGCAGGAAGGACAAAAGUGAAGCCCCAGAACCUAUUCUGUUUUAUCAGAGGAGAAAUAUUUCCUAAGGGGGAAAUUCAAUCAAUACUUUGCAAUUUCCUAACAAUCCAUGAAUCAUUGCAAUUAUGCAGAGAUAAUUCAAGCUUUCCAAUCCAGCUGCUAAAUUAGAGAAAAGCAUACUCUUAGUGCUCACUACCCCCAGCUUGACAUGUCAGUCAGAAAAAACCCUUCAAGUAUAAAAUCCAUCCGCUGAAAUGAAAAGAAACCCUCUCUUUUUAAAACCCUGGCCAAAGUUAAAGGAUUGACAAUGUAGAAGGAGUUCUAUUUUUCAAGUAAUUCCAUUACAGAGGUAGGGGUAAUGAAAAUGCAUGGAGUUGAUAAGAAUUUUUCUGUUGAUAACUCACUUGAAUUCCAGCAUCUGCUAUAUUCUUUUUCCAGUUCUACAGUUCUAAGGAAAAAAUAUAUGAGAAGAAAUGGACCCAAUCAAAAUUAUUUUCUGUAAAUCAGCCUUUUCUUUUCUAACCCUGGAGUUGGAAUAAAAAAGGACCUGGAUCUGAACGGGGACCUAUCCAAAAUCAAACCUCAUCCUGGUUUUCUGUUCUCUAGGGAUCUCUGCAGCACUGAAGAAAGGGUCGGAAUGGAGCAGCUCCAGAAAAAUUAGCCAUCUUCUGGAGACAUUUUUUUGCUAGGAUGAUAUUAUGCUAAGCAGAAGGGAAGGAAAGCUUUCUGUAUGCUUUGGGAACAGGAAUCGAAUGCAACAGACUCGAUGACUUGGUGUUUCUUGUGAUGACUGUCAAAAUGAAGUCAUCAGUUUCUUGCAUCCAUUUUGGACACAACACACAUCUCCUUGUCUGUGUCUGCUGCCUCCAGAGACAAAUUAGCAAGAUAAUACUGGCAGCUCUGGGGUAAUUGCUGGCCAAGAUAUAAUUUCUGAGGCAUGGCUCAAAAUCUUCUUCCCCUUACUACACCCUGCCGCAGGGUUUUAUUUCCUAUCUAGGGUCAAAAUCUGCUUGAUGUUGGUGUCGCUACCAGACAAAUACAAUAUCAAAAACGGCAGUGCAAACAUUAUCACACAUCCCAUCAUCUUCUAAUUUGGAUUCAAAAGAUCAGCCCUGGGGAAUGGAGAAAGCAGUUUGAUUUCUGUGGCCAAUUCAUUCACUGCUGAAACAACCGAACGGAGCUGGCUGGCUUUGCUCAGUGUGGUGAUGUUUGCUGUGAAGCUGUACAAUUAUCUGGGGAGCCAGGCUGAGACUAUAAAACUUUGCUCAUUAAGAUCAUUAGAGAGCUGUCAGAUGGAACAACUGGGAUGGCUUUGAUCUGGCAGAAUACCCUUCCUCCUCUUCCCAGACCUUGGGAAUGAUCCAGUUUCCCAUAAUCCUUUUUUUUUUCCAAGUCAUUCAAACAAUACUCAGUGGUUUUUUUAUAGGGCACAAUAACUUCUUCAGGCAAACUGGAGGCUGUAACAACUAUAACAAGAUUAAUUUAUUAAAUAGAAACCCUGAUAUUUCAAUGACUCCUCUAUAAAUAUGUUCGUAGUUGGUUUUGCCAAGAAAAUGACAAAAUGUUGCUCAUAAUCCCAAAGAUAUUCCCUAUAAAUCCACUAGGUGUCCUACUGUUUUCAAGCAAUUAGGCUCAAGGUUGGUUUGCGUUUUUUUCCCUACUUUUGCCGGUGAGGAAUUAGUUUGAGUCUUUAGUGGAAUGAGGUCUGGGUUUGCAGGUUGAAGAAACAUGUUCGUGUGGCUUGUGCGACACAACGGGACAUCUGGCUCACAGGGGCAGCUCUUUUGGCAAAUGGCAGUAAUGUUUCCCACAGAGACCAAAUCGAGGUUAGAGGCUGGAAGAGAAAAAGGAAAAGAAUCUGCCUUCCUCUCUUGGGAAUGCUAAACCAGAUCCAUCAGAGCCAAAUCCUCUUCUCAGUCAACCUUGGUCAUCUAUUUAUAGGAUUGCUAAAGCGAGCCUGAUGCUGACCUCAAAGGUGGUGGCAACACGUGUUAACCUUCAUCAGAGCUGCUCUGCACAGGCUGCAAUUUUGACAUUCCUGGUCUGGUCACUGUUCCAGUCCCUGAUGGGCAUCCCGCUGCUUGCCAGCGCUCAUGCCUGCCUGCAAAGGCCAGCAUGGCACCCGCUCAUGAGGUGUCCUGUCACUCCGAACACAGAGGGCAUGUCAAACACAUACUAAGAAAAGCAGGCUGAAAAAUAGCCAAAGGAUAAUUUUCUCAUCCCAGAAAAUACUUGGGGCGGAGCGUGGCCAUCGGAAAGCGUCCAGCUGCUCGGCUGGUACGCGACCCAGAGCACCCACGCAGUACCAAGUCGUGCUAUUUGGGACAUCCCUCAACCGCCUUGGGAUCUGUUACUUGCACUGAGCCCCAGCACAGCAGUAUAAACCUCUCCGAAACAGUCAUCUCCUAGGUGCUUCAUGGCCAGAAGUACUGCCCACAGCUAUUGGCUGUGCAAACAGGCGUCAGCACAGGUUUAAUCACAAGCUGCAAGGGGAAAUCAGAGGGGGAAGAAGAGCCUCCUGUCCUUGGCCCACCAGGAUUCCUUGCCAUCAGGCAUUGCACAUCACGGGAAGUGCCGAGCAUCUGUCCUGUGCCAUGUGUUACUGCACUGCCUCUAUUUCUUGCUAUUUGUGUUGAAGGUAUGACAGUCAUUUUCCUGACAACCUGCAAGAAGAAAAGAUACUUCCGACUGUAUGUAUAUAUAGAUACCUGCUGUAGUACCAUCCAUAUGCAGUGUGCACCAUAUGCUAACUGUGAAAGAGUUUAACCUGGUCCAGUGCAUGUGUUUGCUGUUAUACAUAACAAAUACGUCAAGCCUUGCCAUGAUUCAGUGCAUUAUGCAUGGGAGCCAUCUGGUCCCGUAGCUGAAGAAGCAAACUGAAAAUUUGAUAAAAGCACAAACAGUCACAAUGAGAGAGACUGAAAAGAUGUGUUGAGAUUCCAACCAGCAGCUUCCUUCCGUGGGGGCUAAUCCCAUCACCCAUUGCCUCUUUCCCUGGAAAGCUGCUGUCAGACAGGUUGCACUCUCAGCUCUGUGAGUACGCACACCUUUGGGGUGCUAAAGAUGCAUUUCGUGUGCUUGAGCAAACCUUCUGGGACAAGAUUUUUCUCAGUAGCCAGCUGUGCAGUGAGUAAGAUAUACAAGAUGUUUGGAGCACAGCACGUUUCAUGGAGCUUGGAUUGAUCAGGAGCUCUGGCUGCUUUAAAAUGCACUCUCGAUCAUGAUUAGUCAUUAAUAUUGUCUCACUCCUGUGCUGAAUUACAGCUUAUGUCUUUGACAGACUGAAAGGAGGUCCAUCUCAGCUUGCCUAGAUGUUCUCAGCCCUGGGGUGGGAUGUAUUUUGGAGGGACUGAACCACCAGGGUACCAAAGAGGAACUCGGUGCAAUUGAUGAGGUAGAGUUUGGGAUGGCUUGGAUUUGGCCAAGAACUUGUGUACAACUUGGCCAGGAAUACUGGGUUACUAAAACUGGCUUAAUUAGAUUUUGGAGCCAGACCAGGCUUCCCCCACUUUGACCUUGGUUUCUGAUGCUUGGAGGGCACAGGGAAGGCAGGCAGACAGAAGAUGCCUAUUUUAGCAUGUCUCUGCAGGGAACGCGCCCGCUUCAGACAGGUACACAUUUGUUUCCUCUGACACCAAAUUAAUGGGAAUUGAUGUAUUGAUUCUGCAGUUCUCCUAAAAAUUGUUUCAAGUUUUGGCCUGUUUCCAAGCUGGUUGGAUGCAAUGUGCACACAGCUCAAGACAGAUAUUGAAUUAUUCUAAUAUGAAUGCAGUUUAAAAAAUUCAGUUCCUGGUGAAAUUCAGAAGAUAACAGCAUUAUGAUCAUGCAAAUAAUGCAGCCGUUCCUCCUUUAUAUAGUCUAUUUUCCUGCCCAGCUACUCCUUUCAGCUUAAUACAACCAAGCCCCUCCAAGAUCACAGAAUUAUUAAGAUAUUUGCCACUAGUGCAAAUUCAUUGAGUAUUUUUCAUCGUUUUUUUCUUGCUUGUUUUGAGAGUACACUGUCCAGAGCAAAUGCAAUCCGCUGUUCUGUGCUUGUAGAGAGUAUUCAGGGUGAUAGCAGUCCUCUAGGGCUCUACCAAAAUUAAUAUGUUACUGCCAUCACUGUUGCUAUUAUUAUUAAUUUUAUUAUUAAUACUAUUAUUAUUAAACAAUAAUAACCUGAGUUAGUCAUUUGCCAGUCUCAAGGGUUAAAAUCUACUGUCUUUGUGGGUAUUCCCAUACUUAACUAGCUAAAUACUAGCAAAGUAUCCACCUCAUAUACUGUAUUUGUAGACUAUCGGAACAUCUCUGUGCUAGGUGAGCUCCUGGUCCUAGAAAGAGAAAGCAUCUUGUAUUGGGACGGAAUAAGAGUCUUGUAUUUUCUUGCUUUGAUCAUCAUGUCUCUGCUUUUAUCAUCUCACUAGGGAAGUUACUUGAUGUUUCUUUAUUUUGAGUGUCAGCAUGGCUCCUGCAAAUGUUUGAAGUCAUCUUUGGUUUUCAUUUAUUUUCUGGCAAAACAGCAUCCAUCUGCAGUUUAAGAACAGAAUAUAUAAAAAACUGCAUACGACCCCAAAGCACAGAACACAGAAUUUCUGGGCAAAAUUCUCUUCUCAGUUACAUAACUCUGGGGUAGUGUCUGCAUCUUUCUCGUUGUUACUCUGAAACCCAUUUUCAUUUCAUUGUAUCAGACCCAAAGGAUCUACCGCACGCGGCUAAAUCCGAUUUCAUCACAACUGUUGUAAUUUCCUAGGCUAACUUACAAUCUCUGAGGAAGUACAUAAAGACGCAUUUACAGUACGUGGGCCUCAAUACCCUAAGAAAUACGCUGCUGUCAGUUGUUUUCUGUUAGUAGUUUUCCAUGCAAAUAAAGACACGGUGUAGGUGGAGAACUCUUGAGCUGUCUGGAGCAAUGAUUUUCUCCACAUACACAAGCAGAGAAUCUGCACUGCAUAACUGAGCUAAUUUUUAAAACAUCGUGUUCAACAGCUCUUUCUUUAAACAAAGAUAUAGUUUGCUCUAAAUUGUUUGAUAUUUAUUUUGUAUAACUCCAUUCCUUGGCUGUGCAUGCUAUAGAAAUGCUGUUAUGCUACAAGAAGACAGAUUGCCUGGACUGGAAGCCCCAGCCCUGAUUCAGGGAAGCACAUGGUUUCCUUACAAUGAUGAUGAUGAUUAUAAUUACUAUUCAGUAUAUGGGGCAAUUGUUUUUGGUGUUUAAAACAGAACAAACCAAACCAAACCAAAGCUGUUUUGGAAAGCAAAACAUUAGAAAACAACAUUACAAAAAAAUAGUUGUCAAAUAGGAAGUGGUUGACCUUCAGGAGAUAACUCCAUCUGCAGUGUCUGCUAUCCAGCGUUUCUAGUGAUCAGAAAAUGGAAAGAAAAAAAAUCCCAUUAAAUAUCCCAAUACUCCUUUAGAAAACAAUGCACCCCCUUUUCUGUAGGUAUAACAUUUUACAUCUCCUGUUCAACGGCUGCUAGUGUCAAAGGCCAAGUACGUGGAAUGCAGAGCCUGAAGUUUUUCAGCGGUCGCUGAAGGCAAAACCAUCUAAAGCUGUAGCAGAUGUUCGCUUGCUUCCUGCCUGCUUAUCAGCCCUGCAAAGACACCUAAUUUUUGUACUUGUUAUGCCAAGUGUAACUAUGGAGAUCUAAUACAAGCUGCGCAAUAGCGAUACGGGGAAUAGUUCGUUACGUAUUUGGUUAUGAAUGAUCAAGCAAAAUGCUAUGGUUUCUAAGAACUCCCUCAAUUAUUUCCAUAUGUACAUUAGUGAUUCCCCUCGCACGACAAGAAAAUGACAGUGUGCAAAAUAAUUUAAGAAAUACUAUAUUACUGCAGCUCCAUAAAGAUUAAUUUAAAUAUCAUUAAUGAAUUGUGCUCAUUGGACCUUCCAUAGGAUCCCUUCUGAUUUGACCUGCCCUUUCAAUUGGGACUGUUGUCAGCAAGGAGUCCAUGCAACGUGUUCAGGUGAUACCAACUGAACAACAGUUCCACACCGUGCUUGAUGUUAGUUGCUGGCUUUAUUAAAAAAAUUAAAAGUGAACCCAUCUGCUGGGUUACAUUUCUGCGGUGAGAUUCUCCACCAACUUCCGUUCACAUCCCUUUGUACAACAGGCAGAGCGAAGAUGUUAGCUUGGCCUUGGUGUGUUCACAUUUUGUACGUUGUUUCUCGUGCAGCGUGAAAUAAGGAGCGGUAUAUCCCAACUGACCACAUUCCUACAAGGCCUUGGAUAUUCUACAGAAGAGAGUUUGUAACUGUCAAUUUAAAAAUCAGCUACGGUGAACAUUUUUUGUUGAGUAAUCAAGGUGCACCUCAGCUGUUUUAAUUCCUGUUUAUAGUCAUUAUGAGCUCCUGUAAAUUAUAAUUUCAGUAUGAAUGACUACAUGCAAGUGUUAACACAGUAUUCUAUUUUAGGGCUUUGAGCUGGUUUGAUGAGACUGAUUGCAUUUAAGUCGAUAUGCAUUCCCAGCACAGGCAAGACCCAGAGCAAUUUGGUUUAUUGCUUAAUAGACAGGAGUUCUUUUUCCUCCAUGAAAUAGAAGAAAUUAAGAGAUUUACUUUAUGUAAAUCCCAGCACAGGUGUUUUUGCUUUAAGUUUUUACCAGAAGCAGAAACGGAUGGUUUUGGAAUGGUUCCUCUGUCCAUGUUGAAACUGGAAAGCAAAAGUGACAGCUUUGGCCUAUCCCUGCUAGACAUGGAUAUAGAUAUUCCCGUGGGAAACAAAAGGUUUCAGAGCAACAGUGGCUCUGCUGGUGUUUGCCACAUUUCAUAUAACGCUCUCAAGGCAAAAGAGCACUGGGUAACCAUUCUUGCCACUUUUAAAAUGUUGAUAGCAUUGCAAAUCCAUGUUGACCUGGAAAACGCAAAUAGCGGGCACAGUGCUUCCUUGAGCAGUCCUUCUACAGGUGAUACUCUGUUGUAUGACAACAUUAAGGCCCAUGUCCUUGAAGGAAAUGAAGAGCUGUGGGGUGAUUGGUUCCAGGGGAAGUAGGUAUGGAUAUUCCUUUGAGAAAAUGAGCUUCCGUAUGAAAGCUGUAGACAUAACAUUCAGUCCCCUUCCCUUCCCCAAAGGCAAGCAACAACAAGGCAACGCAUGAAGCAAAAGAGAAGAGUUGUUGAAAAUGAAGCUAUAAGGGACUUUAUGCAAAGGAUGUUUUGCAGGCAAAAGAUGGAUCCAAUGAAUGCAUUGAUGGGAAUUGCCUGAAGCAUCUGGGAAAACACCACGAGAAGUAUGAAGCUGAAAGAGGAAAAAAGGAAAAAAGGGGACCCGGGGAUUAAAUUCAUAUGAGUUGGGAAUGUGGAGGAGGUAAGCACAACUCUUUGGGUGAGUUCCUGGAAGGGGUGCAGUAAAUAUAUUAAAAAUCAACAUAUUGGUACUGUGACUGGGUAAGGGAUUUUUUAGUUAAAGUAUUUGAAAACAGAGGCCAGUAUUUAGGCUUAGACUGUAAGGGGUAGCACAGUAGGAAGCAGGAUGGAUGAGAUGGCUUAAAAGGGCUUCAUUGUAGUCAAAUUAAUUCAGUUUAAAUAAUUAAUUCUCUUUUAAAUUGACUCUACUCUGCACAUUUGACGUUUUGGAAAAGCUGCCAUUCCCUGGCCUUCUGGUAAAUGCUUUUGCAUCUGUUUUCCAUUGUUUUUGUCUUGAAAAAAAAAAUCCUUGUCACUAACAGGAACCAUCAGCAGCAUGGAACAAAUUGACUUGCCAAGCACAUUUCCUCCCAUCUCAUUACUUAUACUGCAAGUAUUCUUUUUUGUAUUACCAGUCAGACUGUGAUUUAAAAAAAUUUCCUGUAUAUUAAGAUAGUUGUCUACUGGCAUUAUGAGUCAAAUUCAAACUUGGUUAAGUAAGUGAACUACUUCAAUUACAUCAACAUUUGGUCACACUUUUUCAAGGAGGUGCUCGAGCAGUUUAAUUACUCCACAGUUCUCUCUGCCUACCUUGUUAUAUAGAGCUCCCGAGUGUCGCAGCAAAGGGCCCCCCCCCAGGUACGAAGCAGAUCAGAUAUGUCGCUCUUCCUCUUCUGCUGUUCGUACAUCGAUUUGGAGACUUACGCAGACGAGAAGGAGCGGAUCCAUAGCAUGAUUGGGUUAAAUAGGCAUAGGGCAGCUUGGGUUAAACAAAUAGGUUUUGUAUUGUGCUCUGAAGGCGCUUUAGUUUGUGUUCACUCUCAUCUCCUUUGUCAGCCCCAGGCUGCGGACCAGUUGCUAAGAAAGUGUUCGUCUCCUCUAAACUUCCCCGCUGAAGUUGGCAGUGCUGUUCUGGCAAAGGAAUGCAAACCUAAGUUUGAGUUCUGACCGCGCGAGGGGUCUGUCGAGGUUAGGGGCUCCUUUGGGUAAGCUGGACAGAAACCUCAGAGAGCUCAGAAAAGGGCAGGAGCUUGGUCUGACCUAUAUUCACGGUGACUCACUGGUGAGAUUUAAUGUCGUUACUUUGUUUUGCCUCUGUUUCUUGGCAGUUGCUCACAUUUUAAACAAGUACACUCUUACCUAACCGAAUCGAUAGAUGAGUAUAAUUAGGACCCGAUAUAACAAGGCCAGCAGUUGUAACAACAUAAGGGAACAUUCCAAAGCAGUUACAGAAGAAAAGAAUUUCAGAUAAUUAGGAGAGGAGUUGGGCAGUGAUGCAGAUUUUAAAAGUACCCAAGAUAAAAUAACAGAUACUAAAAAUAUCUAUAUUGAGAUGAAAUCCUCAUGACUCAGUGCUUGAGCCAGCCUCCAUUCUCUAGGAAUUAGUAAGAAAAUCAUCCAAACAGAGUAGACCGUGGUGUAUCGCCUUACUCUGGUGGGCUUACACUGAAGAAGUAUCUUAUGCUGAAAAAGGAUAGGCACAGGUCUGACUUAACAGGGCAACUGCAGUAUCUUUUUGAGUAUGUUCUGUAACUUUUUUAAAAUCGGUGGCUUUGUUUCUACCUAGAAAAAAUUCUCCUAAUGACCUCUCUGGAUCUUGAGUGACAAAAGCACUGGCAGCAGGGCCUGUGAUGCAUUCUUUUAGUCAACUGGGACAUAUUUUCAAAUACCUGUGACUCUCUGGCUAGUAGCUGAGGAGGGAUGAAUCCAGCUUGCAAAUAGAAAUAUCAAAAUGCCUUUUUUUCCUUCUUUUUUUCUUUUCUGCGCAAUGUGUUUCCUGACUAGCCGCAAAAUUUUGAAAGCAUUGAAAGUACUGUAAGCAUUGGAAGUAUUCUGGAAGCAAGAAGUAUUUUGAAAAGUAUUUGGAAACGCUGUAGAGUUUCGGAAAGGCAGAAAAGCUGUGUUAUGAGAACAUCAGCUACAAUCUGGGUCAGUUUUUCAGCGCAGAUGUGCCAGAUGCAUUUUCCUGGAAAUCCUCCGUGACAGUUUGGGAGAAGAGUGACCCAACGUUUUCUCACCGUACAACAUAACUGUUCCAUGCGGCGAUGUCAGGUGGGUGAAGCGCUGCUUGUAUUCCCAAAGUGAUGUCCUGUUGAAGCUUGUUCGGGAGCAGAGAUUUUUCUCUCACAACAGUUUCAAACUGGGAGUCUAGCAAAUCUCUUUGGUACAUCUUGACUGAUCUCAAUCUGAUUUGGCGGUUUUUUGCAUUUUAAUGAUCUGGUUUUAUUUCCAGAUAAUGACUAUUUAUGUAAAUGUGAUACCUUAGAAAUAAAUAUGAAAAUUAUCCCCUAAUAUUAAUUACAGGCUUCAUGGUUCAAAUACUUAAUAUAUUAAAGGCAAAUAGUGAUGUAGAUUGUCUCUGAGUUUAUCAGUUUAGCUAUUUUGGUGGUUUGUUUUAUUUUAACCUGACUUACACAUGUUGGACAGCGUUUCCUGAACUAAAGCAAGCUAUAUUAUGUGCCUGGAUAUAUCAAAGGAUAUCGAAGGACAAUAAAAAUCAAAAUGCGUCAUGCAGUGGUAGCAGUGAAUGGAAACCCAGAUUUCAGAAUGUUUUUGCCUAAGAAUCAAACAAAUUAGUUUUACUUGGAGAGUCUCAGCGUAAGUGUUGCUAGCCAUUUACUCAAAAAUGAGAUAAUUUUAAAUUAAUUACAAUCUUUUGCACUUCUAUAGCUGCUUCCCUUGCGAAUCUCAGUAGUGUUCUACAAACAUUAAUUAAGUCUAAUAGUACUCCUGAGAAGUGGUUAACUGAUAGAUAUACUUCACUUAACCCAUCAUGAUAUAAGUGAUCUCUAGAACAAAAUACAAAAACUUUAAACAGCAGGACUACACAAGAGUUCAGAGCCUGAAGUAAGUAUCUUAGCCACAUAAAACUGUGGGGAAUGUUUAGAUGCAUGGAAUGAAAUUACUUGGCCUAGGCAUGAUUUGAAGAUAAAUAAAAGUGCAAAAGCCAAGGAACGGAGAUCUUUAGUGAAGGAAAGGGUUUUCUAUCUAUCUGAUGUGUGAGAAGAUACCCCCAGCACCAGAGCACCACGUGGUGUGACUCCGGAUGACGAUUCAGAGAAAAGACUGCUAUUUGCAGAAAUCACCUCCAGAUGGGCCAAAGAGCCUGAGUCGAAACCGAACCUUUAAGGCUGAUGCAAGAACAGCAGCGAUAACAGUUAAGUCCUCACCCCCACCCCUGAGGGUACAGGGGCUGCUGAAAAUAGCAACAAACCAGCAGUAUCAGUGUGCACAUUUACAGCCCAAGACUGUUAUUUUUGCUGGCGAAUCUGCAUGCAUAAUUUCCUUCCUGAUAUUACUCCACAAGGAGAAGCUUUUGUUAUCUUGCUUUACUGAUGAGAGCAAUACUUAAAACGAGUUAGUGCUGGAACAGACAAGUUGGGUUUGGUGCAUGCAUUAGGACUUGGGCCAUCCUCAAGCAACCCUUCCACUGUCCCGUUCUCAAAAAAAUCUGCAAAUAUUUGUUUCAGAGCUUCCAGAGCCUACAGGAAGAGCCAUUCCAGAAAUCUGCUCCGGCUGUACAUACUUAUUUGCCUACUACCAACAGAAGAGGUAUGGCAUCACUCGCUUGAUACCCCUACCCGCAGCUACACAGCAAAGCGCGAUGUUAACUGUUUGCUCACCGAUCAAUACCAGUGGCCAUCCAGUAGGUCCUUUUAUUGUUCAACAUUUGAUAGUGGCUGCAACGCUGCAAUGCCUCGUGAAAAGUUUUAGCAGUUGCUGAGGGAAACUUUACGACACACAGCCUACAUUCUCAGAUGUGCACUCUGAAAUCCUGAGGAAGCAAAGCAGCACCGAAAAGUGAAAUGAUAAUGAGUUUGCAAUGCAUUUUUAUUUAUAGAAAUGACUUGGAAACAUUUGGGUCUCCUCUUUGGAUGCAUUUUCUUUCCUUUUUGUUUCCCAGCAUUUCUGUGCUUUUGGGACUACAAACUCUCACACAAAUAUUGGCAAUAAAUCCUUGCCAAGGAAGUCUACC